rnacentral:misc_RNA from 1 species
UCCCUCCAUCUUGGUGGUGGGGUGUGGUGUUUGAGUAUUGGAUAGUGGUUGCGAGCAUCUAAAUGAACGCGUCGCCGGCAACGGUUACGUGUUCGUUUUGUGUAAUUUUUUCUUUUGGUUUUUGUGUUCGUAAGUGUUUAAGGGCACAUGGUGGAUGCCUUGGCAUCGAGAGCCGAUGAAGGACGUGGGAGGCUGCGAUAAGCCUCGG